rnacentral:rRNA from 1 species
UACGGAGGGUGCAAGCGUUAAUCGGAAUUACUGGGCGUAAAGCGUGCGCAGGCGGUUUGUUAAGUCCGCUGUGAAAUCCCCGAGCUCAACCUGGGAAUUGCAGUGGAUACUGGCAGGCUGGAGUACGGUAGAGGAAGGUGGAAUUCCCGGUGUAGCAGUGAAAUGCGUAGAGAUCGGGAGGAACACCAUUGGCGAAGGCGGCCUUCUGGACCAGUACUGACGCUGAGGCACGAAAGCGUGGGGAGCAAACAGG